rnacentral:lncRNA from 1 species
UGCCCAGCGCUCGCGUCUGCUCCAGUCGCUCUGGCGGUGCGGGGCGCUGGCGACGGGACAGGGUUUUUGCUGCCCGGGGCCUAGUCUACCUCGGCACGCUUUUCUCUGAAGGAGACACGCACUUGCACGACGUGGGCCUCUGUGCAGCUCUACUUUGUCCUUAACUCCUCUGACUCAACGUUAUCGCAGUUUGACUCUGGAGCCACUCAGGUUUUUCCUAAGCUCAACUCUAGCCAGCUAGGUUCCUGGUGCUUUGGGGGCUGGAGUGCAGUGGUAUGAUCAUGGCUCACUGCAGCCUCAACUACCCAGACUCAAGCAAUCCUCCUACCUCAGCCCGCCAAGUAACUGGGACUACUGGUGCACACCAUGACGCCCAGGUAAUUUUUGUAUUUUUCUAUAGAGCCUCCCAAAGUGCUGGGAUUACAGCAUCCUACCUAGGAAGUCUUUUUCUUGUCCAGGUGUGGUGGCUCAUGCCUAUAAGCCCAGCACUUUGGAAGGCUGAGGUGGGCAGAUCACUUGAGGCCAGGUAUUUGAGACCAGCCUGGCCAACAUGGUGAAACCUCAUCUCUACUAAAAAUACAAAAAAAAUAGCUGGGUGUGGUGGCACGUGCCUGUAAUCCCAGCUACUCGGGAGGCUGAGGCAAGAGAAUCGCUGGGACCUGGGAGGCGGAAGUUGCGGUGAGCCGGGAUCGCUCCAGUGCACUCCAGCCUGGGUGAUGGAGGGAGACCGUCUCAAAAGAAAAGAACAGAAAUAUUUGUCUAACCCAAGGCCCCAGAGAUUUUCUCCUAUGUUUUAUAGAUUUAGAAGUUUUAUAGUUUUAGCUCUAACCUAUAGUUAAGGGUCAGAGUUUUUCCAUGUGAAUAUCCAGUUGUUCCAGCACUAUUAUUGAAAAGUCUAUCUUUUCCCCCAUUGAAUUACAUUGGCUGCUUUGUUGAAAGUUAAAUAAAUAUAUUUGUGUGGGUCCAUUUUUGGAAAUUCUGUUCUAUUCCAUUUUACUAUAUGUCUAUGAUAAUCUUUUUAAUAAAGAAAACUAUUUUACUUU